AUUGCACAAUGGGGGAAACCCUGAUGCAGCCAUGCCGCGUGUGUGAAGAAGGCCUUCGGGUUGUAAAGCACUUUCAGUAGGGAGGAAGGUAGUGUAGUUAACACCUGCAUUAUUUGACGUUACCUACAGAAGAAGCACCGGCUAACUCCGUGCCAGCAGCCGCGGUAAUACGGAGGGUGCGAGCGUUAAUCGGAAUUACUGGGCGUAAAGCGCAUGCAGGCGGCCUGUUAAGUCAGAUGUGAAAGCCCGGGGCUUAACCUCGGAAUUGCAUUUGAAACUAGGCAGGCUAGAGUCUUGUAGAGGGGGGUAGGAAUUUCAGGUGUAGCGGUGAAAUGCGUAGAGAUCUGAAGGAAUACCAGUGGCGAAGGCGGCCCCCUGGACAAAGACUGACGCUCAGAUGCGAAAGCGUGGGGAGCAAACAGGAUUAGAUACCCUGGUAG
rnacentral:rRNA from 1 species